CCCGUUCUUGUCUACGGGAGCAUAGUGUUCAAUGAUCGUAAGUGAGAGUACUGAUGCCAUAAAACCCAUAUGAAUUAUAUGACCGCAUCCGUGUGUAGGGUUGCCUUAUACACGUGUUGCAAUUUUUGAAGGA